rnacentral:lncRNA from 1 species
CACAUAUUCAUAUUUAAUCAAAUAUAACAAAUAAAUUUCAACCGUAAGAAUCCAACAUUGUGCAAGGUUGUUUCUUUUUUCUCCACUUGUGGAUUUCUUUUCAAGACAAUUAGAGUUGUAUUAAAUUGAAACAAGAAAAAUCAUGCUUAGAAUUAAAUCAACGAUGAAAUUGAGGGAACAAAUAUGUACAGUAUGUCAUGUGAUCCUUUUCAAGCCAAAAUACUGCCAUCUUUCCAAGUGAGGUGUUCAGGGUCAGCCAUAACUCUUCUUAAAUUGUACUAAACUGUACUUUUAGAGCUCCACUCAUGUAUACCCAACUUGACUUCUAAUUUUCCUUCUCCAGACAAAUACUCAGAAAAUUCAUUCUGAAUAAACUGUUUCUAAAUCCCACUCUGUACUGCUGAAAAUGCUAAGAGAUCAGAAUGAAACUCAAACCACCAGAUUCUGAUGCACUCUCUAGCCACGGUACUCUCUGGUACCUACUCUUCAACAACCUAAAAAGCCACCUAUAACAUAAAAUUUGAAAAGCAAGCGCCCAAAACCAGAGCCAGCCUGGUUGAUACAGUGAUUCACACACGGCACAAGGAAAAUGCAAUGAGACAAAGAAUUGCUCCUGGGGUACUCCAUCAACAGCUUGUAGUCAAGAUCACACAGAAAUAAACCUCAUUUUCUGUAAUGUGGGUAAGCAUCUUUUCACUUCCCACACUGCACCCUGCUUGCUAAGAGAACGCAUAACACUCCUAAUAAAAGCUCCCAUGCUCUCUUGGUUUCCAAGUGAGAAAAGAUGUCUGUGGUUUGCAUUGAAAACAGAUCAUUCCCCCCUUCCACUCUGCAAACUCAGACCGAACAAGUGGAGGAGAAAGACACCACACACUGGUGUCAAAAAGAUGGAAACUUCCCAACACUGCCAGAGAGGGGAACCCCGAGUUCCCAUUGCAGCGUUCCACACACAGCACUGGAAGCAGCCUAGCAAGACGCGUGGCCCUCCAACACUGCCAGCGAAGAAGAUCCCCACACAUCUGGCAGCAAGCCCUCCGCUCAUCCCCCGCCCUCUCUUGCCCACAGCACAAGGGGAAGUACAGAAAGAGGCUAUAACAGGAGAUCUCGCAGCACAGUCUAGGGGUUGUGUUACACCGACCUAUCGAUCAUGAUCUUGGGGUCUCCCAUCCAAGGAAUAAGGUGUCGCCCCUGCUCCUGGUACUGAGCCUUCUCAUCAUCUCGAAACAGCUUGCAGGCAUAGCCGAACACCAGCAGCUCCACACGGCUAUUCCCACCUCCACCUCCUCCUCCUCCGCCUCCUCCGGGGGGCCCGGGAGCCGCUCCCCCGCCUGACAACAACAUGAGGGGCGGCGGGCCUGCCUCUUCUGCGAUCCGUCGAGAGCCCCCGACCUCUCCGUAUAUCGACGGAGGGCGCGACCAGAAGGAGGAAACUCGCAGUAACAAUGACUGUCCGAGCUGCGAGUCCCCCAGGAGGCCGGGCCCGCGCUAAACUCCACAGCUCCAGGGCACCACAGUCGCCAUCACCCGAAACAAAAUGGCGAGCCUUCCGCUUCCGCUGGCCGGGCAGAGAGCUGCCUGGUUUCCGGCACUCGAUAGAUUCGCCUCAAAUUUCUGAGACUCUAGCGAGAAAUCAGACGAGCACGUAGCGAGAAAGGACUCUGUGCUGCCAAUGGCCGCGGUGAGGGUAGUUCGAGGCAGUGUGAGGCAGAACGGUCGGUUGUCUGGAGAGGAUUCUGACGUCAAGGGCGUGGCGAAAGUGCGGACAGGGGGUCUCGGGCCUGCUGAAGCGGCUUUCGUGUGUGCGUCAGGCAAAGAGCUGAGGCAGCCUUGCGGGGUGGUGCGCUGUGCUGAGGGAGCAGGCGCGGUCCCGCCGGCGGGAGCUGAGCGGGAUGAGAGGCGCGGCGGGACCCGCGGCCCCAGGACGUGCGGCUGUGAGGAAUUGCAGCCGUCGGAUUUGCUCACAGUGGGGGCACAGCAGCCCCAGAACCGGAGUGGGAGGUGGAUCGCUGCACUGAAGAAAAAUUUUUUCCAACAAUUGAUAAACUACACUUUUGCUAAAAUAUGUAAUCCAGACCAGAAUUUUCAGUAGUGUUUACUGUCAGCGUGAUGACUUUCUACGCCUCAGUAAAGCAGAGCUCUUCAAGAAUUCACUGUGAAGAAACGAUUUGUCUGUGUUGUAGUAAACGUUGCAAUUAAGCACAUCAUGUUUCCCAGUCUAUGGGGGUGAGUCCAUAGCCUUUGUUAACAACAGUGCUGGACACACCUUUUUUCUUUCUUCCUUUUUUUUUUUUUUUCUUAGUCAUCCUGUACAAAGAGUACUGGCAUCACUACACAGAAGGAAAGGGAGGAUAUAAAGCAGGCCAAGAAAAGCAGUGCGUGGACACUGGGAAGCAAACGUGCAGCUUGUGUCAGCAUCUAGAAAUACCCACUACCAUGUACAUGUAUUGAACAAAUGUAAAACUUUCUUUGGACAGUUUUUUUUUUUUUUCAAUUAUGGCCAUGCAACUGAAAACAGAAUCCGUUGGGAUUCCACCAUAUCUGUGACAGUGAACUGCAACGCUGAAGUAAACCACAUAACACUUCUAGGUAAUUGUGAUGUAAUGCCUGUGCACCUGCAAUUCCACAACCAAUAAAAGAUGGUUAAAAAGUGAAAUUCCUGAAGUUUACAGAUUUGCACCCCAGGAACAAACUUUGUGAUGAAUAUUGGAAGUUUUGGUAACUAUCUGAUGGCUUCACAGCCCUCAGUGAGGAAAGCUAUUUACGGUUGAUGCUUCAGACGUAUCUUGCUGUCUCUUAAAAAUAAUGACUGAGUUGUUCUAACAAAGAGAGUAGUUAUUAUUGUGUUCCUCUUUGAAAAUAUGGGUACCAAGGAGAUGCAUGGGAGCAGGCUUGAACAUCACCCCACCACGUUGUGCCCUUUUGAAAACUUGGAGUACAAAAAAAGAGCAGGAAAAAACAUCAGAAGUUAAAAGGACGAACAAUAGACUGUUUAUGAGAGAGUGUAAGAAAGUAAUUAAAUAUUGAUAUGUGGUGAUUUCAUUUCCUCCUUAAGUCUGGUAACGCAAAUGUCUCAGCAUAAAGAUAAUGUGGCACUGAAAUGGCUCUGAGCAGCUGAAGUGAUCAUGUAAUAAGUGAACUUCAGAAUAUUUUACCAGGAUAUCAGCAUUUGAGAUGAAUGUGCGAGCUGUGCAUGAGUCAGAUAAAGGACAAACGUGGAAAUCUUAGUUACAAAGAAUGCAAUUACAGAAAGAUGGAGGGAGUAUUCUAAUGAGCUCUUUAAUGGUGAAAUGGAUAAAGGCAAGCAAACAGCAGAUUUCCAGCCAGCUGAGCUAUUUGUAGAAGAAUCAAGAGGCAAUCAGGACACCCAGGAACAAUACGGCACCAGUGAUAUAAAAGAAAUUUCAAGCGUACCAAAAGAAUGCAUCCAAUGUUGUUCCAGUCAAACAGGAAUAAAGAAAUCUUGAGUGCUGAAGUUAAGAGACCUUACUGGAAACUAAGCAAAGACAGGGUAAGCAGUUAUGAAUAGAAAUGUGCUAUUUUUUGGUAAUGAAGAAGCUGUAAUUUGAGAGUGGAAAUUUAUAUACAUUCAAAGAAAGGGAUUAAAUUCCUUUAUUUUGGUUAUAGGGAGCUAAGACUGCAUAUAAGAGUGCUACCAUAAAAGAUUAUUGUUGAUCAACACAUUCAUAGUGUUCUUUGUAGUAAAAAUGGAAAGCUUAUGUAUCAUUGUAUCAGUUUUGAGACUGGGACUCAAAGUAGGUUUGUUGUCUUUGUAGAAAAUGCUCUAUUUAAACUGGAGCCAAGAUCUAAGGUUUCUUGUUUAUUACAGAAUAUGGUGUGAACUCACACUUCUGUUGGACUUCUUUAUUCUAUCUCAGUGGUAUCUUGUAAUGAAAGAGCUGCUGUGUUCUUUAGGGAAGUAUGCACAGAAUCAGUGAGCUUUACUUGAACAUUAUAUAAUUCAUCUCUUAAAGAAGAUAUUCUCUAAAUUGUCAUGACUUUUAAAGCAGGUAUUAAUGUUACUUCUGCCAUUACUGUAGGAUCCCCAUAUAAAACAUACAGUAGUUCAAGUCCAAUUUAAGUGGAAUCACAUUUUAAACACAGAAUUGCUAUAAAACAGUAUCUAAGUAAACAACUUACAGGUAUGGUAAUGGUUGUAGUAUGUAACUGGCCACAUUAAUGACUGGGUGCACAGUAGCAGAGUAAUGAUUGAGGAUUUCUGGCUUCUUCUAUUAUAAGCUUUCUGUAAUUCAUUGUUUAGUUACUUUAUUUCCAGAGAGUUACUUUCUACUUAUGUGAAGAUUAUAUUUGCCUGUCUGUGUAAAAAUAUAAGGUUAAAUGCUCUCUCCUUUUUGAUGCAGUCUUUAUGUCUAUUAAGGACCUUUCUUAAGUAUUCUCUGUUGGGUUCUUUCUUCUGUGUACAUAUAUUUCACAGCCUGCCCAAUUUCUAUGGCUAAUUUAUCUGGUUACUGUCUUCUGGCCAUGGGUCUGCUUUCUUGAUGGUGAUUUUAAGAAGCAAAGAUGCACAUAAACAUAAACAGAAAAUGUUAUACUACAGCGGGAUUGAAAGGGAGGGGGAAGGGAGUGGGAAGUAUCUGGGAAAAUACGUAACUUUUUUCCCUGAGGUGUUUGCCUUGAAAACGCCCAGCAGGUUCUAUCAGACACUUCUCAUCACAGGACUGAACAACAUAGCUCAGCUGGUAGGUGCCAUCACCUGGUUGAAGAAAUUUCAGAUACUUUCAUUUUGAUGGAGUAGAAUUUAAUGUGCGGCUGAUGACAAAACACAACAAAAUUAAAUAAACUCGUCCUUUUUUUUUUCCUUCCAUUUCUUUAUUCAAAAACAUCUUCACUGUUUUAUCAUCAAAGGCAUUUUACUACUGUGUGCCAGGAAAGAGUAAAUUAAAGUUUAUGAGUAGCACUAACAAUCAAUGUUGAAUUUGCUCCUGAAUUCUCUUAUAGCAGUAGCUCUGUUUUCAUGCUGUUUUUUUUCCCCCAAAUGGUGAUAUGUGUAUGAGACACUGCAGUUAAAAUGUAUAACAAACCUUUUCUGUUACUGUACAAAAGAUUUGAAGAGCAAGUUAAGUAGUUUUAAAAUAUAUUCAGUUUAUAGUUAAUCAAAUUCUUUACUUUCAGCUUUCAUCAUAGAUUUGCUUUUGUUGUUACUGUGAAAGCCCAUGACGUAAGUUAUAUGCAAAAUAUAAUAUCACUGGAAAUUAACUUGCAUUCUGCUUUACUGAUCUUGUGUUUGUGUUAUUUUUUAAAGUAAUGUUCCAUCUUGCAGAUAAAGUAAUCAAAAUGGACUGCUACUUUCUCGAUAGCACAGUUGUGUUUAAGAGCAACCUUCAAAGUUGAUAGCAGAUCUGUCUUACUGCAAGGAGGUUUUAUGCUAAAUUCUUUAUGCAACAAAGCUGCCAACUCUGUGUUAGUCUGUCCAAUUGUAUUUAAUCUCCUCUUAGCCAAGAAGAGAAUCCUCUCUUCUUUUCAGAAGGUCGUAGCUGAAUAAGUUUAUUGCAUGUGGAAAAGAGACUUAUUUUUCCUAUGAGGAGUACCAUUUGUUGUGGUGCAAAGCAUUCCUAACCAAACCUUGGCAACUGUUCAUCUGCUGCUUAGAGAGAACCACACUUCAUACAUGAGGAAAUAAAUGCUGUCUGAUUUUUAUUUUUUUUAACUUUACACUGUUGGAAUAUACAGACGUCAGAAGAUCCAAGUCUGCCUUAUGUAAACUUGUGUUAAAACCACUAUUAUUUAUUUGUAAUAGCGUAUUUGAAGAACUGAAGACAUUCAUUAGCUUUAAUGGAUUGUGAGGCCAUAUUUAUUACUAGUAACAACAAGGGAAUACAGAUUAUAAAUAGCUGUCAUUUCACAUUAUAAAAUGAAUGCAGAAGCUAGUUACUUGCAAAGUUUAUGGUUCUGCAAAUUCUUCUUUUUGCAAAUGAAAUGAAUGUUACUCUUAAGCUGCUACUGCUUUUUGAACCUUCUCUUAAAUGAUGCUGUGUGCUUUAGAAAAAAUCAAUGCUGCACUCCUAUGUAGACAUAAUUGCUAAAGAUUUGGGCCUGGUAGACUACUAUUCAUUCAUAGAGAAAAAAGAUAGGGAAGCAGUAGUUUGUAUUGCUCAUUAGCUUUAAUGGACUUUGAUCUUCUGUUCUGUGGAUUAUUUUUCAUUUUAUCUGCACCUAAUUUUAAAAUAUUUUCCCAAAGACCUAUGAUUGACUAUAACCUGAUAAAAAGUUUCAUAGGUGGGAGUGUGAAAGCAGUCACUGAUAGAUGCAUUAAUCAGUGCCAGAUAGCACAGUUGGACAACAUGCUGCAACUGUUGUUCUCUGCAUCCUGAAGUUGCCUAUUGAGCAAAGAAGACCUCUGGCAGCACUGUCUUCUUUCUGUAAGACUGUAUGAUUCAGAGAGAUAUCAAAUGAGAAGGCUGUAGGGCCUUCAUAUUGGUACUGCCACUUUGAGUAAUCAGACCCAUUCUUCUCUCUGGUGCUUCAAGUUUUCUUGGAUGAAAACUCCUUAGAUUUUUCUUUCCGUGUUAAAUAUUUGGCUUCCAAGUGUCUCAGCAGUGUCAACAGUUUCAUGCUCAACAGGUGGUGGUUUCAGAGUAUGACAUACACUGUGCCUUCAGAUCACUCUGUGUGAAACCAUAUGUAAUUUGCCACUUUAUUCAUGUGCUUUUUUUCUCUAGUGCAAUUUGUCAUCAUCCAUAGCACACAACUAUUGCCUUUCUCAUUCACACUUUGUCUGGGAUCAAGUGGUGAACAUGGGAGGCCAUUGGAGCUGUCAGACCUUGAUGCUGGAUCUGCUGUGUAUGAAUUGUUAGCGUUUCCAUGGUGCAAUAACAAAAAAGCUCAGUGCAACGGUUCAUUGAAGUGUGCUUAAAUGCUUCAUCCUCUGCUGUUUGAUUAAGGUAACGUCUAUUUCUGAAAACGGAUGAAGAUGGAGAAGAAACCUGUACUUACAGGCAUGCACUUAUACUCAGUGAUUUGUAGGGGGUGUGGAACUAGAUGAUCUUUAAAGUCCCUUCCAACCUAAGCUAUUCUAUGAUUUAUUUCAAAUACUUCAAUCUGCAAAAAAUGUUAAUAAAGCUUCGAGUAAUAAAUUCUGAUAUAGAAUGCCUCUUUCAUCACCUAAUCAUCAUUUUCUACUCAGAAAUAUCUCAACACUGACUGGUUCAAAGUGGUGCUUGUCCUGCUGCUUUCCUCUAUUGGUGUUGUUUUCCACAGCUUUUUUCUCCUGUUUCUAAUUACUCCGUUUCAUAAUGUAUAAUUCUGUGUGUAAGGCUCAAAGCGUUGUUGCUCUCAGCGGAAAAAAACUGAGCUACCACAUCUGGAAGAAAAACAGUCCAGGUUCUCUUGAUGCUUCUUGAAGAUGCCCUUCUGCCCAGUGCAAUGGUUAUGGUUUUCUUAACUUGAGAGUGAACUGCUGAAGACGUUGCAGACAAUAUGCCUUACCUGUACUGGAGAAGCAAAAAUGAAUGCUUCAUUGUGCUGAGUGAGUUAGUAGAAUAUUCUGUGGUUACUACAGGCACACAGACAAGAUGCAUUUACCAUCUCCAUACUGUGUGCAAUUUUAGCAUCUAGGGAAUGUAUACAUAAUAAGAGGUCAGUAUUGAUCAGCAUGAUAAGUUGAAGUCUCAGCAUACAAGCAAUCCAAGUCUUAAGUCAUUUUUCUUAUUUUGGUAGGCAUCAUAAUACAGGAAAUCUUCAGAGGGAGAUGGCAGCCUAGCAUCUGCAUCUGUGCAGCCCAAACGAUCUGUGUAUCAGUACUGCUGCCCACGCAUGUUGUGCCUGUGCUAGUCCAGCUAUAAGAUGAGACUUUCAGUAAAGUUUUCUUCAUGGCUUUUUAGUGUUUGCAAUCCUAAAUCUUUUUUUAUUCACAUUUUGAAUGUGAAUAUGUGUGUACUGAAAGCAUUCAAUCUCAUCCUAGAAUUAUUCAGUUACACUGUGAUUCUGGUUCUUUAAUAAUCUGAAGUGUCAAAGAAAAACUUUAAAAGAAAUAGGUAUGUUGAAGGUCACUCAGUGUUAACUUCGUCAGUAAGCCCAAGGGUUUCUACUGCUAUAGACCUAAGGCAGAAGGACUCGAUAAUUAGCUCUGUAUCACUUCUGUUCUGAUCUGCAUAAACUUGUUCAUAUCUUACCUUGUUAAAUAGGUGUCAGAGUGAAGGAGAGUACACCUAAAUGUUGUUAACACAGAAAGGAAAUAAAUGCUGCUCAGCAGUCGCUCAUUCCAGAAGUUCCUUCCAGUAAAGGUAAUUUACAUUCAGUACCUUGGUGGCUUCUGGUUAAGAACUUAAGGGUUUGAAAUAUUGGAUUAGACAGCUGGUUCGUGUUUCAAAGGGAAAUAAAGCAAUAACAUAAUGUACGUGUUUGAUGUGUCUUGGGAAAUAAAAUUAAUGUCUUAGAGAUCUAAUUUAUGGCAUAUGCAGCAGUAUUUUGGUAAUGGGCACUCAAGUUAGGGUGGACAACAAUAACAUGCAAACUGAAAUAAGAAUGUUAAUUAUGCAUGUUAUACUAUAUUGUAAAACUGCUUUAACUCUUUGUUCUAAUGAUAAAACCAAGUAAAUAAAUAGAAUCAGACACACAAAUCCCUAAGGUCUGGAAUAAUUAAACUCUUCUUCAUGUCCUGGGUUGCUAUUUCACAGAAAACAUCUAAUUUUCCAGGAUGCUUUAAUGUUGAUUUCUGGAAGCUUUAUGCAGUUUCUAAAUAAUCACUUUCUGGAAGGAGAAGCAUCUUCAGAAAAUUGUAACAGAUAAAAAGUUCUGAAAGACAUAGAAUAUCCAGCGCAAGGAUUUAGCUUAAGCCUUAAGUAACUUUGACAGACUUCAUAGUCACUGUUUCAGACAGCAGGUUGAACUGAUGACCUCCUGUGGUCUCUUCUAAUGUGAAUUAUCCUGUGAAUCCACCUGUCUUUUCCACUGACGCUUACUUGGUGUGAGGAAUACAGGAUCCCAUUAAUUUCAAGUAGGUCUCCUGGGCAUGCAGGUAGUGAGGAGUAGGGAGUGGGGACUAUGCUGCUAUAAAACCAAAAUGAGCUUUAGGGAUUUUAUUUGUUUUUUAAGUUUUCCUCUAUAGUGUUUCACUUGUUCACCAGCAUUUUGACUGAGGCUACAUUUUUCUUUAUUAUCAAGGCUGAAAUAAAAACCAUGCAAUACAGGAAGCUAGCACUGCUGAAGGAUCCUCAUUUUUUUUCCCCCAUCUUUUCAGAGCAGUUACUCUUUCCCUGUUGCAUUUCUUGGGAACUCACUGUUGCCAGCAAAUGAGAUGACAAGCUUCAAGAUUAGCAUUUCAUUGAGCAACAUGGACAGUAGUACAGCUACAUGAAUCACUUUUCUGCACUUCUGCCAAGAUGCCAAUCAAUGAAAAGCUCUUAAUGUUAAAUAGCAUAAAUGGGUGUGUAACCUGCAUGAAUGAGAGAGUGUGAUUGUCUUGCUAGCAACAGGGGAAUGAAGAGCACUUAAUUCCUUAAAUUUCUGUUCUUGUUUUGUGACCCAAGUGUGGAUUUAAAGGGCCUUGACAAGGAGUACCAGAGGAAAGCUAUCAAGGAUUACACUGUAUUAAUAAUUGGUUGUGUUUUUACUUGUGAAUAUUGAUCUCUGGACUUCUGUGUGAAUGCAGAGACCAGCGAAGGGACUGAGUUUGAGCUGCAAAGCUAAGUGAACAUCAGCCAGCUUUGAUCACUGAGCUGAGUGGUUGAGGUGCAAACCAGGCAUUGAACUAUACCAGGUGAAAACUUUAUGCAAAAUGCAGACAUUAAGCUGAAGUUGUAGAACAUAUUUUCUUUUAAAACACAGAGGCUCAAACUGAAAGCCUUUGUGGGAGGUCUUUGACAGCAGAACAAAUGCUUCAAACAUAGGUAAAUAUCAAUUUGUGUAAACAGGACAUCAGGAUUAGAAAAAUCCUGGAACUCUUCAAAAGGUAAAUCUGCAUUGUGAUUUUAGACAGCGGCCUAAAAUGGGAGGCUUUCCUCCACAAUGGAAGAAGACCUUAAGAAAAAGCUGCUGUCAGACCUAGCAACUUCUGAGCAAAUCCGAAGGAACCUAAAUUUACUGUGCUCAAAAAAUUACAUGAUUUAACAGAGACAGAAUGGGAUCAUCUUUAUCCCAUAUGUGACAGAGCAAAGACACUUUGCUUUUUUGGUUGUUUAGUAUCUGGGUGAUUCCUGACAACCUGCUGUCUUGAUAAUACUUGUUUCUGG